rnacentral:rRNA from 1 species
UACGUAGGGGGCAAGCGUUGUCCGGAUUUAUUGGGCGUAAAGAGCGUGUAGGCGGCCAUACAGGUCAGCUGUGAAAACUCGAGGCUCAACCUCGAGACGUCGGUUGAAACCGUAUGGCUAGAGUCCGGAAGAGGAGAGUGGAAUUCCCGGUGUAGCGGUGAAAUGCGCAGAUAUCGGGAAGAACACCCGUGGCGAAGGCGGCUCUCUGGGACGGUACUGACGCUGAGACGCGAGAGCGUGGGGAGCGAACAGG